UGGGGGGGCGCGCUCCCGUCCCACCCCCUGGAGCUGGGCUCCUUGCUCUGCCCGAGAUGUGGAACUCAGGAAGCAGGUGUCUUGGCGGGGUUGGGACACGAGAGCAUUUUAUUAUUUUAUUUUUAAAGGACGGGGAUGCAGAAACCAAGCCCACCCCCCAAAAAAGACCCACGUGGAGCCCAGGCUCCGCUGGCCUGACUCCCCCACCCGCAAUGGCUUGACUGUCUCCACGUGGCUGCUUUGCUUUGCAAAAUACAGCGCGUCCAAGCUCCUGGAGGACAGCGAUGGUGCCAGACAUAGCCUGCUUUGUACGUGCUCAGACAGUUCCCUUUGGGGGCUUCGUAAGGACAUCUUGGAAGGAGACCCUGCUGGAUCGGGGGUUGCUGGAGGGUCCCUAAGCCAGGGCGCUUGCUCGCUGGCCGGCCGGGUGCAGCCCCUCUCCCCAUGGGAUGCCUGAAGCUGACAGCCCUGACUACCUGGGAUUCAGAGGUAGACUGCACUUAGGGAUUACAGGAGAGGAAAUAAGAAGAAAGGACUUUAAACUUUUCCAAUAUGCAGUUACAGCAGCAAGAAUCCUACUGGCCCAGAAAUGGAAACAAGAAGAAAUACCGACGGUAGAAGAAUGGAGACUGAAGCUGACAGACUAUGCAGAACUGGACAGAUUAACUGGGAAAAUUAGAUAUCUUCGAGACCAAAAGUUCAUCGAGGACUGGGGAAAAUUUGUUGAUUAUCUGAAAAGAACGUGUGAUGUGCAAACAACGCUAGUGGGGUUUCAAGAAGCACUGUGAAAGUUGAGAUAUAUUGUUAGAAAGAAAUAGAAGUGGGAGGGAAGGUUAAUGGCAAUAUAAACAGAAGAAAUGCGUAACUGAGAGGUAAAUAUGGAUGAUUGUCAGAGAAGCUGAAGGAAGUCCAAACAGAGUUAAAUUUGUGGAAAUUUUGAUAUGAUUGUUUAUUUGUGUUGGAAAAUUAAUAAAAAUUAUUAU